CAUAAAGGGAAUGUCAGCAGAGAGGCAUCAUCCAGCCUGCCUGACAAAGGUGAAAGAUUGGAACGAAGAACAUUCCUCACUGUCCGGAUCUGUCUCUCCCACACGCCUCCAGCAUGGCUCGCAUGCAGAGUGUUCAUGCUGAAGUCACACUGCUUUUCAGCCAAGAACGUGGUCAGACGAUUACCAUCCACUUGCUUAAGAGCUUCAUUGGGUUUGUUUUUAGCUCCAAGAAAAU